CAGCCGCCACGGUAAUACGAAGGGGGCUAGCGUUGUUCGGAAUUACUGGGCGUAAAGCGCACGUAGGCGGAUAUUUAAGUCAGGGGUGAAAUCCCAGAGCUCAACUCUGGAACUGCCUUUGAUACUGGGUAUCUUGAGUAUGGAAGAGGUGAGUGGAAUUCCGAGUGUAGAGGUGAAAUUCGUAGAUAUUCGGAGGAACACCAGUGGCGAAGGCGGCUCACUGGUCCAUUACUGACGCUGAGGUGCGAAAGCGUGGGGAGCAAACAGGAUUAGAUACCCCGGUAGUCCCUGUCUCUUAUAC
rnacentral:rRNA from 1 species